UACAGAGGGGGCAAGCGUUGUUCGGAAUUACUGGGCGUAAAGGGCGCGUAGGCGGCCUGUUAAGUCGAACGUGAAAUCCCCGGGCUCAACCCGGGAACUGCGUCCCGAUACUGGCAGGCUUGAAUUCGGGAGAGGGAUGCGGAAUUCCAGGUGUAGCGGUGAAAUGCGUAGAUAUCUGGAGGAACACCGGUGGCGAAGGCGGCAUCCUGGACCGAGAUUGACGCUGAGGCGCGAAAGCCAGGGGAGCAAACGGG
rnacentral:rRNA from 1 species